rnacentral:rRNA from 1 species
AUGCCUCUGCAUGAGGUGCAUCUUGAUGAGCUUGCUGAGGACGACAUAGUAUGGGAACACUCGGACUCUGGGCAUUACUCUGCGGCCUCUGCUUACAGGGCACAUUUUUUGGGUUUGGUCCUCUCCCCCAUGGACCAAAUAGUUUGGAAGCCUUGGGCCCCAUCGAAGGUCAAGUUCUUUGCUUGGCUCGCACCGCAAGAUAGAAUUUGGACCGUCAAUAGAUUGGCUAAGCAGGGUUGGCCAAAUUGUGGCCCUUGCCCCUUGUGCAGGGGAGUGCAAGAAUGUGGAACACAUCUAUUCUUCAUAUGCCGCUUCACGUUGAGGCUUUGGAAUUUGAUUAUUCAGAAAUUUCUCUUACACGACAUGGACACGUCGGCGUGGAGCUCCUUCGACUCAGUCAAGACAUGGUGGCAAGAAUGA